GUACGAAUAGAAAAAAAAUUAUAGAGUAUUUAAUUUGCUAUUAUUUAAUUAGUUCUAAUCAGAUUUAACAGGUUCCUCGACCUCCAUAUAUUUAACAAGCUUUUACGCAUGCAUUGGAAUUUGCAAAUCACCCGGUUAACCUAAGGGCCUAUUCAUAUGGGCCCGGUUAAUUUUUCGUUCAUAUGCAUGACUAUUUUGAUCCCAUCUAAUAUCGCGCCUCGGUAGGACAGACUUGCGUGAACAUGCAUGACCUCUUCAGAAUAGCUUUUGUUGUAGUUGACCAAACUGCAUGUACAUUGCACUACAACUUUUAUUAGUGUCUGUUUAGGUCUUUUAAUGUUUACUUUUUUAUUCUAAUUUCUGCCCUUCAAUACAGUAACUUUAUAUAGGUCAAAGUCAGUAAAAAUGUCGAUCCCGGUUAGAUGAGAUGAAGGAAAAUUUUAUCCCACUUGACUGUCAUCACACCUGCCCGGCUAUAGGCGUGAGAUCCAUUGAACUAUAAGUAAACUAGAAGGCUGACACGGGGGGGGUCGGCUUCAAUCCCCCCCGUGCUUUGUAGGUAGUGCCAGUCCCUCUUUGCAAAUAUUUUUUGAAAAAUACACUUUUUAUAUCGAUAAAUUUUAGGCUUUUGAUCAGUUUCUUUUCUCACUUUCCUUUUUCAUUUUAGAC